ensembl:lncRNA
CGUUUCUGACGAUGCAUGGAAACCGAGGCUGCUCCGGGCUGCCGGGCCCCGACAAACCCGCUUGCAGCUGUGACCGCUUCACUCCUGCUCGCCUCGAGCCCUGCUGGACACCCGCCGCCGGGGUCCGCGGGGACUGCCUGCCUGUGGGCGCCACGGAGGCCUGUGAGCGGGCAGCGGCCGACCGUGGACGUGCGAUGACACGUCCUUCCUGCGUCCACACGCCCGCCCCGCCCAUCAGCUGUUUUAAAAGCCUCUGAUUUUUUACUUCACAGCAGGAUUGAGAGGAAGUUUUCCUUUUCCCAGGACGUCGCGUGGUUGGAUUGCACAGCUUGCAGCCUUCUUCAGAUGGGCUUCCUUCACUUUGAAAUACGCAUGACUUGGCUUCCGUCCUGAUCAGCUUUCAUUACACAACCAAGGCAGAGGCGGAGUUGACAGAAUGGAUGUGCAGAGAAGUUCGGGCAGGUUACAGAAAAGGCCUGAAGAAACGCAGGCAGUUGGAGUCAGACUGGAAACAGACCAAUGGCUUGGCCGAAGUCCGAGAGCAUCCCCCACCACGCCCGCUGGCUCCGCGGUUCCCCAGCAACCAAGUUGCCCAGCCACUGGAACCAUCUCCACCUCUGAACUUGGAACAAGACACGGCCUGCAAAGCUGGUUUUUCAUUUUUCACGCACUGUUGAUUCUGCGUCUUGAUUCCGUCCUUGCAUCUUGAAGGCAACAACCAGAAAAACAGCCGUGUGACACCCAGCUGGGCUCUAAGUCUUUCUCCUGGAUUUCCGAGCAGACUGGGAGAGUGAGUCAGAGGUCACUUGCCUGUGAACCAUGGAAAAAAUUGGCAAAUUGAAUGGAUGUUUGUCCAAAGUCAGACUCAGCACCUUUAUCCAGAAACUCUAAGAAAAAAAAAAAAAAAAGAUGAAGUUUGUCUCAGGAAUUUCAUGAAGACCGCAAUGGCAGCAUACUCUCUGGGUCUAUGGUUCUGAUCUAGUCAACAGUGUCUUCAGAAGGCAGUUCUGAGCUCGUCUUGUGGCCUUAUGAUUCUAGUUGCUCGUUUUAGUUAAUCAUCUGCUUCUGUUAUUUAACACAAACCAGAAUCCACUUUGGGAGAAGGCAAUGGCACCCCACUCCAGCACUCUUGCCUGGAAAAUCGCAUGGAUGGAGGAGCCUGGUGGGCUGCAGUCCAUGGGGUCAUGAAGAGUCGGACACGACUGAGCGGCUUAGCAGCAGCAGCAGCAGGAGCAGCAGAAUCCAUUUUGCUGAUGAACCAGAACCAUCAGCGCUGCCAUUCUUGCUCACUUCCGUGUUUCCUGCCUUAUUUUCUUUUAUUCAUUUUCAACGAGAAGGUAACUCAUAUGCGGGUUUUUUCAACUGCCGAAAGGUACCUGACAUUAAAAAUCUCAGAACGUUUCAGAGAACAAUGACGACAGAUAAUUUCCUACCAUUCAGGUGUUAAAAAAAGAACUAAUCAAUCCAAGCUUGCAAGGUGGGAUGAGCUUGUCUCUGUAGAGAAUGAUGCUGUGGGGAGCAGAGAACUUCCAGAAGGGAAUAAGGAGCAACUCUUGCAAUGUGAGAAUAGAACGGCUUUAUCCUUAACAGACAUACAAUAUAAUUGGAUGUAAUAGGUAUUUGUUGGAUAAACAGUGCCUGACACUGUUCUGACGGUUGAUUUGGGACUUAACUAGGCUCUUUUCUCAAGGGGGCUUCCCAAGUGGUGCUAGUAGUAAAGAACCCCCCCUGCCAAUGCAGGAGGCAAAAGAGAAGUGGCUUCCAUCCCUGGAUCUGGAAGAUUCCCUGGAGGAGGGCAUGGCAACCCACUCCAGCAUUCUUGUCUGGAGAAGCCCAUGGACAGAGGAGCCUGGAGGGCUACAGUCCAUGGGGUUACAAGAGAGUCAGGCAAGACUGCAGUGACUUGACAUGCACAGACUUCUUUUUGGAGUUUCCUUUUUAAUAGGAGACUACCCUCAUUUUCUUGCCGUGUGGACACCCCAACACAGACACUCAUAAAACCAACAGAAGAGAGUUUGCUGGUAGGACCAACGUGACAAUCCUUUCUGACAAAAUCAGGGGGUGACACCCCAGCACCCUUGACACAGCCCGUCAGAAGCCAGUCUUGCCCGUCCUUCCAGGGGGUUAUUUACAGAUGUGACUCACAGGAGGUGGGAAGCACAGAGGCCACCUCCGUGUCUCAGCUCCACAGCUGCCAGGGUCCAGCCCCGGUGGAUCCAGGGUGAUUCGAAGGUGGGGGGACGGAGUCGGCGUCUUUGGAAAAAUACAUAUUUAAUCACAGAUAGAGAGAGAUUAGAAACAGAUAGUGUAGUAGAAAGAUUAGUGGAGAAAAAGAGGCUGAAUAACUUGGAUUACGUGGAAUAGUAUCCAUGCUCCAGAUGGGAAUUCAGCCAGAAAAACGGGAGCAAGAAAGAAGCGACAUGGGGGAAUCAGUCUUUCCGGAAACUGAUCCCAUUUCUUUAUUUUUGGGUUUGCUUAUAUACCUUUUGUUACACAUAGGGAUGAAUACAGAGUCACGCGGGGUCAGCAGUCCUGACCUUUAUCAAAAUCAGGUGCUUCACAUAAAUGUAUAAAAAAAAAGGUCUUAGGAAUAUUACAUCAUCUUCUGGCCAUGAGUGAGACCUGCUGACAUUUUAUGAUCCUUUCUUUCUGAUAACCAAAAACUUAUUUUUCCAAGGGUGUUUUUUCUUAAACCAGGCACCACCCUCCAAAUAAAGUUACAUUCCUAUAGGGUGAGGGUGUAGUGAGUUACAAUCAAGAAAGGAAUUUAUUUAACCCAAGGUUAACAUGAUUAGUCUUAAAGGUUAAUACUUAUUUCUCCUAUAUGCUUAAAGGUUAAUACUUAUUUCUUCCUAUAUGCUAGUUAUAUUCAUUAUAAGAGUAGGGAACAUGGAGAUUUAGCAGCAAACA